ACCGAUUUCCGCGGGAGCUCGGGCCUGAGGCCGGGCUGAGAGGGCGCACCCGAUGGCGGCGCCGACCGCAUGAACCUGUCCGGGUAAUGCCGGCGUAGGGAGUGUGUUCCAUGGCGUC
rnacentral:ncRNA from 2 species